UGCAGAAAUCAGAAGACGGAGAAACAAAGUCAACAGAUAAUGCCUUGCAGAAAUCAGAAGACGGAGAAACAAAGUCAGCAGAUAAAAAGCAUGAGGAAACAGCUAAAAAGGAGCCCGCUAUCACAUCUGACCAAGCUGUGUCGCAGAAACAACACCCUCCAAAGAGACUUGUUUAUACUCGCCGUGGCUCCUCCAAAAAGAAGCAACGGAGUCAGGAUGUUGUAGUACAAGGGCCUGUUGGUGGAUAGCAGCAGCGUAUCGAAGUGGCUCCUUCCUCCAUGGCCAGGGAACAUGGUUUCUUGCCCAGCGUCCGAGAAGCAGAUUGCAGCAAGCGGGGCUGGCCAGUGUUACCAUCUCAUCACACAGCCAAUGGGGCACGGACGGGCGGAGGUUAUAAAAUGGUGUGCACCGAGCCCUGCAGUGUGAUUUGAGCUUCCAGCCAGAAGGUUUUACCCCCUGAGCUGAUGCCACUCAAAUGACGUGGCGGCAUGGGUGAAUUCAUCCACUAAUUAAGUUAUCCGAGGGCAGAUUUUGUGGAAUAUGCUCUGUACGUUUGUCAUCUCUGCAGUCAUUAGUUUAGUCUUGUAACAGAGAACAAGUAGCUACAUCUGGUGGAUGAUGAAAGAAGAGGGAGGGGGUAGUAGGGGGGUUGUCACUGACUGACAUCUGUAGUUGACAAAUUGACUUGUGUAGUUAACGUAGGCCAUCCAUCUGCACAUGAAUUAUCUCUGUACAACAGCAGCAGCAUAUGUAGGCCCGAAUGUACACAGAAUUUGACUGCUCGGUUGAUGAGUAUGCGUGUGGGUGUGCUUACCUUAGCCUGUGACCUUUGAGACGAAACGUUGCCGGUUUCAUGAA